AUUGAACGCUGGCGGCAGGCCUAACACAUGCAAGUCGAGCGAGCGGCGGACGGGUGAGUAAUGUAUGGGGACUGCCCGAUAGAGGGGGAUAACUACUGGAAACGGUAGCUAAAACCGCAUACUAUCGGAUAACCCAUAUGGGAUUAGCUAGUAGGUGAGGUAAUGGCUCACCUGGGCGACGAUCCCUAGAUGGUGUGCGAGGCUGAUCAGCCACCCUGGGACUGAGACACGGCCCAGACUCCUACGGAGGCAGCAGUGGGGAAUAUUGCACAAUGGGCGCAAGCCUGAUGGAGCAAUGCCGCGUGUAUGAAGAAGGCCCUAGGGUUGUAAAGUACUUUCAGUCGGGAGGCGUUACCGACAGAAGAAGCACCGGCUAACUCCGUGCCAGCAGCCGCGGUAAUAC
rnacentral:rRNA from 1 species